UAUGCUAUCAACAUGCACCUCAUUAAUAUGGCUGCACACUCAAUGAAAUUCACAUGCAUAUCAUUAGACUUUUUGCUAUAAUUAAGUGUGUAAGGUCACAUCUUGUUGAUUGGACCUAUACUUGACUUAGCCGCAAAUUCCUCCAAUAGCGUACAACAAUUUAACAACAAUUGGUAAGGCUUAACACAUUUGACAAAUCUGACAACAUUAUUUAGGGUGAGCACAUGGAUCGAUAAGAUUAAGAUUACAACUACACAUGGCCAUCGUUUAUUUACAUGCAACCCUUCAAAAGUUAACAAUUAAUGUACUGACUCAUGAUCACCUAUCACAUGCUAACCCUAAAUCGCAUAAAUACAUACUACUAUACUACUAUUAAUCGAGUGCAAGCAUAGCAAAAACAAACAAUCAAGAAGUAAUAUAAUUCCAAAACUAUGAAGAAAUGGCUUCGAAUAGGGGAAAAGGGGUUAUCUCACUGCCGUCGCACGUAGGGGUUUAGGGUUGUUAUGUUGCAAUUGUGAGACAAGGGAAUGUGUACGUGCAAUUGCAUUUAUAAGGCCAAAACCUAAAUAAAUGGGCCGGUGGUGGUUUGUUAAACAAAUAGUAAUGUGGGCCGAUUAUAUUUACUAAACCCAACAAUGAUUUGGAAUCAAACAAAUACACACACACAUUGCACAUCUACCAAAUAUGAUGUCACGUUAAAUAGAGCCACGGUUCG
rnacentral:lncRNA from 1 species